rnacentral:lncRNA from 1 species
AGUAUCUAUCCCAAAGACCAGGGAGAAAGGAAGGAAAGAUUCUGGUUCUGUCCUCUUCCCCAAGGCAAGGCUGGCUGCCCUACCAACAGAGGCAAAGAGAAGAGUGUGCAAGGCUGGCUGCCCUCCCAACAGAGGCAAAGAGGAGUGUGUGUUGAAAUAUCCAUUGAAUCCCUGAGACAACUGGAUCCUGGCCCAUUGAAUCAUAAACUCACUGAAAUUUUUAAUAUAAUGCCUCUUAGCCUGGUUUGGAGAAAACGUCACAGAGAGGCACCAUUUGUUGUGGUUUUACAUGAAAAUUUUCUGACCCUGAACCUGGUUUGAUGGAAAUCAUUUGCUGAGGAAACCAUGCCGAUUACCGACCGAGCUCUCAAUGGAAAAAUGCAGUCGGCGUGAACCACGCACGAACACAGCAGAGAAAGAAGAAAACACACACCACGAGGAACCCUAAUAGGACAAUACAUUAUAAGUCACAGUGCUACGGAGAAACCCAGUAGCCACAUGGAAGCAGAGACCAUGCAUAUGCAUCUACUCCGCAGCUCUGUGAAUGUCAGCAGCUCCCACGGACUGGAGAUCCCGUGAGAUCCCGUGAGAUCUCACCCAUAGCCUCAUGGUACAUCCACUUGGUGUGCUGGGAGAGUCAGGAUGAGGACCUGAGAAGAACAGCAGCUUGAACCUGACUUCAUUUAACAGCCCACUGCCCUCUUGCCAAGAACCCAUCACAGACCUUCCCAGAAGAGAGGGAUGAGCCUCACCUAUGAAUAAGUCCUCAGAAACUCAAAUUUGAUUCUAAUGGAUUGUUUUCUCAGAAAGACUGAGCAUGUCCCCCCACAUCUCUGUCAUUUCCCACAGUAGUAACCUCUGCAGAUGCCACAUAGAAAACAAAACAAAACAAAAAAACAUGAGGUUGGUGGGCAGAUAGGCAGGGUAUAAACAAACAGCCUUGUAACCCAGAAGCUGUGUGAUAUACAGUAAACUUCACAACACUGAAAAGAUGUCCUAUCUGUUAAAAUGGGGUAAUAACAACUACCCGAAUGUUUAGGAAUAGAACUUCAAUAAAUGAUACAUUUUAUAGUACAGCAGA